CGAUAAAGCGGGUGAAAAGCCCGCUCGCCGGAAGACCAAGGGUUCCUGUCCAACGUUAAUCGGGGCAGGGUGAGUCGACCCCUAAGGCGAGGCCGAAAGGCGUAGUCGAUGGGAAACGGGUUAAUAUUCCCGUACUUGGUGUUACUGCGAAGGGGGGACGGAGAAGGCUAUGUUGGCCGGGCGACGGUUGUCCCGGUUUAAGCGUGUAGGUGUGUGUUCCAGGUAAAUCCGGUUCACUUUAACACUGAGGCGUGAUGACGAGGCACUACGGUGCUGAAGCAACAAAUGCCCUGCUUCCAGGAAAAGCCUCUAAGCAUCAGGUAACAUCAAAUCGUACCCCAAACCGACACAGGUGGUCAGGUAGAGAAUACCAAGGCGCUUGAGAGAACUCGGGUGAAGGAACUAGGCAAAAUGGUGCCGUAACUUCGGGAGAAGGCACGCUGACAC
rnacentral:rRNA from 1 species